CUUAUAAAAACUGUGAAAUUUUGACUUGAUGCUUAAGUUUAACUUUUCAUACCGGCAAGUUCAUCUGUCGCUUUUUGUGGUCAAUAUGGAAAAGUAUCUAAAUAAAAAAUACAAAAUCGAUCGAAUCGACGACAGUUACGACGCGUAUUUAGAGGCAAUCGGCUUGAGCGUCGAGCAUCGAAAUGCGGCGAAAGAGUCAAAGGCAGCAUUUCAAUUGGUUCAGAUCAGUGCGAAUGAGUACUCGCUCAAAACCGAUGUCGGCCCCAGAACGCUCGA